GGGAUAAACGUUGCGAUUGAGACGCUAGUCACGUUAUUAUGUUUACUUUCAGAUGUAGUCUCGGCAUGAAAAGCUGUUCGUUAUCUGGUGCUUACUGAUACAUUACUAAAAAGAAUGCAACCACCGAAUCAUUUGUUGAGUUCCAAGAUUGUGUUGUCACGAACUUAUUGACAUAUUAAUGAGAAAAGUUGAUAUAUCAUUACAUCUUUUGGAAUAAAAGUGGAACGAUAAUAAAGGCUUGACUUUUCAAAGACCCGCAAUCCCAACUUCAACAUGCAGCAUAUCUCGAUGGAAUCAAGAACCAGGAAAUAAGAAAUUCUCCAAUACAUCUGUUUAGGAAUUUUUUAUCAAGCUAUAAUUUUUAUUACUUACUAGUGUAUAUAUGUGAGUAUUGUUAAAUACAAAAAAGAGGAAUUUAUUCUUAUGAUUCAUGUUAUAAAAUAUUCUUCCAAUAAUUGCAUUCAAACUUUUCUCUUUUGAUUCACCUAAUGAAGAAACUUCAUUUUAGCCAUAUAUGGUCAAAGGCAUUUAAAUUAUAUUCGUCGUGAAAAUUUAAUUGCAAAUCGGAAUUAAAGAGAUAUUUCAUGCUACUGACGUGCAGAAAAAAGUGUCUUAAAAACGCAAUUUUCUCAUUGACCACUUAACGGAGAAACCAUAUGCUUGCAAAGUUUGUGAUUUUUUCUCAGCUUUGGAAUUGAAAGAAUCGUUUAUUGGUGCACACGAAAGAGAAACCACAUACGUGUGACAUUUGUAAUAAAGCAUUUUUUUCAGCUGUCACAUUUAAAUAUUCAUUUAAUGCCGCAUACGAAUGAGAAAUCCUACGUUUGCAGCUUAUGCAACAAAGUCUUUACUAUGAUUUGGAGUUUAAAAAGACAUUUAAGGCUGCAUGCACAGAAGAAACAGUUUAUAUGCGAGUUUUGCAAAAAAACCUUUUCCGCUAUGAAAAAUUUAAAAUUACAUUUACGGACGCAUACGGGAGAGAAACCAUAUACUUGUGACUUUUGUAACAAAUCCUUUACGGUUAAGUGGAAUUUAAAAUCGCAUUUACGGGUGCAUACAAAAGAGAAACCGUUUAAAUGCGAGUUUUGCAAAAAAGUCUUUACGCAGCAAAGUAAUUUAAAUGUACAUUUACGUCUGCAUACGUGAGAGAACGGGGAUUUAAUAGUACAUUUACGAACGCAUACGAAAGGGAAACCGUAUGCAUGUGAUUUCUGUGAUGUAAGAUUUUCUCAUUCCAUUUC